AAAUGUGAAGGCGAUCUGGCUGCAGCAUCUGUCACCCCCUCUGAUUGCCAGGGCUCAUUCGGCUGCUCUGGCUUACGGGGCAGGCAUCCCCUUUCUCCCUUACUGUUCCUUGUGUGUCCCUUCCAACACUAUGCUAGGUCAAAGAGGACAUCCUUCCCUAAACAGAGAUGGACUGCUCCUCGGUAAAGGGUAUAUGAGUAGCUGUACUCCCCUGUUAGCUACUAAAAGAAAAGGAAAAUAUGCCCACCGGAGCAGUGAUUUGUUGUGUUUGCGUGGCGCCUCAGCAGUAACCCUGAUUGGGGGUGAAAAAAAAAAAAGGUGGGGAGGUCGUACAAUGACUAUGCAAAAGUCUCCAUGAGUAGUACUUGGUAGCUUUUCUUU
rnacentral:snRNA from 1 species